rnacentral:rRNA from 1 species
UAACGGCCCACCAAGGCGACGAUCAGUAGGGGUUCUGAGAGGAAGGUCCCCCACAUUGGAACUGAGACACGGUCCAAACUCCUACGGGAGGCAGCAGUGAGGAAUAUUGGUCAAUGGACGAGAGUCUGAACCAGCCAAGUAGCGUGCAGGAUGACGGCCCUAUGGGUUGUAAACUGCUUUUAUAAGGGAAUAAAGUGAGUCUCGUGAGACUUUUUGCAUGUACCUUAUGAAUAAGGACCGGCUAAUUCCGUGCCAGCAGCCGCGGUAAUACGGAAGGUCCGGGCGUUAUCCGGAUUUAUUGGGUUUAAAGGGAGCGUAGGCCGGAGAUUAAGCGUGUUGUGAAAUGUAGACGCUCAACGUCUGCACUGCAGCGCGAACUGGUUUCCUUGAGUACGCACAAAGUGGGCGGAAUUCGUGGUGUAGCGGUGAAAUGCUUAGAUAUCACGAAGAACUCCGAUUGCGAAGGCAGCUCACUGGAGCGCAACUGACGCUGAAGCUCGAAAGUGCGGGUAUCGAACAGGAUUAGAUACCCUGGUAGUCCGCACGGUAAACGAUGGAUGCCCGCUGUUGGUCUGAAUAGGUCAGCGGCCAAGCGAAAGCAUUAAGCAUCCCACCUGGGG